rnacentral:rRNA from 1 species
UACGAAGGGGGCGAGCGUUGUUCGGAAUUACUGGGCGUAAAGGGCGCGCAGGCGGCUCUUCAAGUCAGGCGUGAAAGCCCCGGGCUUAACCUGGGAAUUGCGCUUGGGACUGGAGGGCUUGAGUACGGGAGAGGAGAGUGGAAUUCCCAGUGUAGAGGUGAAAUUCGUAGAUAUUGGGAAGAACACCGGUGGCGAAGGCGGCUCUCUGGACCGUAACUGACGCUGAGGCGCGAAAGCGUGGGGAGCAAGCAGG